UACGAAGGGGGCUAGCGUUGCUCGGAAUCACUGGGCGUAAAGGGUGCGUAGGCGGGUCUUUAAGUCAGGGGUGAAAUCCUGGAGCUCAACUCCAGAACUGCCUUUGAUACUGAAGAUCUUGAGUUCGGGAGAGGUGAGUGGAAUUGCGAGUGUAGAGGUGAAAUUCGUAGAUAUUCGCAAGAACACCAGUGGCGAAGGCGGCUCACUGGCCCGAUACUGACGCUGAGGCACGAAAGCGUGGGGAGCAAGCAGG
rnacentral:rRNA from 1 species